rnacentral:rRNA from 1 species
UACGAACUGUGCAAACGUUAUUCGGAAUCACUGGGCUUAAAGGGUGCGUAGGCGGCUUGUCAAGUAGGGUGUGAAAGCCCCCGGCUUAACCGGGGAAUUGCGCCCUAAACUGACGAGCUGGAGUGGGACAGGGGUAUGUGGAACUUCCGGUGGAGCGGUGAAAUGUGUUGAUAUCGGAAGGAACGCCGGUGGCGAAAGCGACACACUGGGUCUCAACUGACGCUGAGGCACGAAAGCCAGGGGAGCGAACGGG